CCUGCCCCUGGAAGCAUUGCAGGUGUGGUUGCUGGGUCACAUGUGUGUCAGUAGGUGGCAGAGAGGAGAGAGGAGAUGUCUACACCCAGUGUUCAGACCUAUGAACAUCUAAAUGAUUAGCAACCUAAUAUU